ACUGCUAAAAAAACACAGAAGAAAAAGUAGUGUGUUUGCGUUUGUGUGUGUGUGUGUGUGCGUGCGCGCGCGCGCGCGUGGUUCGUUCGUUCUGUCUCCAGGCUAGUGGCUAAGUACUGAGGGCUUCAUCUAUCUAAAAGGAGUUAUUUCCAUCUGAAUUUGGCAGCACCGGGACACAGCAGCAGAGCGAGUCCACAUCCAGAAGACUGGAGCCGUGUUUCACUGACAGGCUGUCAGACUAACGCCCUGAUGAGCUCAGCUGGGACAAACUGGUCUGAUGUUUAGGUAAGUGAAGAUCUGCUUCUCCAAGUCCUUGAGAUGCUAGUAAAAAAUAAUUUAGCCAGCUUGCUAAUGUUACUUUUCUUCUCCUCUAAGGAACACAGAACGUUCAGAUGUUGGCGCUUCACGUCACCUACUGAGGAAGGAGACCCACCAGUAAAGAGACGGUCUGGACCAGACCAAAAAUAUGGCGAUGACAUCAUGGAACUGGUCUUUGGAAAAGUUUUCCCUGAACCAACUCCGUUUCUAGAUGAGGUAGAGAAGAUCUGCAUCUCACCAACCCUCUGGUCUCAGUAUUCAGACAACGGAGGUCUCCCACUGUUAUCCAGGACCAGUUUGAAGCCCACAUACUGCCCCUCCCUCAUCAUCAGGAAACAUCAAUCCGUAUCCUGA
rnacentral:lncRNA from 1 species